rnacentral:rRNA from 1 species
GUAGGGUCCAAGCGUUAAUCGGAAUUACUGGGCGUAAAGCGUGCGCAGGCGGUUGUGCAAGACCGAUGUGAAAUCCCCCGGGGCUUAACCUGGGAAUUGCAUUGGUGACUGCACGGCUAGAGUGUGUCAGAGGGGGGGUAGAAUUCCACGUGUAGCAGUGAAAUGCGUAGAGAUGUGGAGGAAUACCGAUGGCGAAGGCAGCCCCCUGGGAUAACACUGACGCUCAUGCACGAAAGCGUGGGGAGCAAACAGGAUUAGAUACCCUGGUAGUCCACGCCCUAAACGAUGUCAACUAGUUGUUGGGGAUUCAUUUCCUUAGUAACGUAGCUAACGCGUGAAGUUGACCGCCUGGGGAGUACGGUCGCAAAGAUUA